CAGUAGCCGCGGUAAUGCGAAGGGUGCAAGCGUUACUCGGAAUUACUGGGCGUAAAGCGUGCGUAGGUGGUGGUUUAAGUCCGUUGUGAAAGCCCUGGGCUCAACCUGGGAAUUGCAGUGGAUACUGGGUCACUAGAGUGUGGUAGAGGAUAGUGGAAUUUCCGGUGUAGCAGUGAAAUGCGUAGAGAUCGGAAGGAACAUCUGUGGCGAAGGCGACUAUCUGGGCCAACACUGACACUGAGGCACGAAAGCGUGGGGAGCAAACAGGAUUAGAGACCCGCGUAGUCCCUGUCUCUUAUAC
rnacentral:rRNA from 1 species